GACAGAGGGUGCAAACGUUGCUCGGAAUCACUGGGCGUAAAGCGUGCGCAGGCGGUUCGUUGUGUCGGCGGUGAAAGCCCCGGGCUCAACCUGGGAAUGGCCGUUGAAACUGGCGAACUGGGAGUGUGGCAGAGGGGGUGGAAUUCCGCGUGUAGCAGUGAAAUGCGUAGAGAUGCGGAGGAACACCGAUGGCGAAGGCAGCCCCCUGGGCUGACACUGACGCUCAGGCACGAAAGCGUGGGGAGCAAACAGG
rnacentral:rRNA from 1 species